GGGGGUGUUGCGCAGUGGUAGGGCAUGUGCUUAGCACGCGCAGGGUCCUGGCUUCAAUCCUCAGUACCUCCA
rnacentral:tRNA from 1 species